rnacentral:rRNA from 1 species
AGGCUGCAACUCGCCUACACAAGUCGGAAUCGCUAGUAAUCGCGGAUCAGCAUGCCGCGGUGAAUACGUUCCCGGGCCUUGUACACACCGCCGUCACACCAUGGGAGUUUGUAACGCCCAAAGUCGGUGGCCUAACCUUUAUGGAGGGAGCCGCCUAAGGCGGGACAGAUGACUGGGGUGAAGUCGUAACAAGGUAAC